AAGGCAAAAAUAUAGUGACGCCUAUUGCGAACAACCCCCCAUGAGUAGGCUACAUGAAGACCUAAGCCUGAUAUACCUGAUAAGGAUGAUCAAGACCCGGGUAUGAAUACUUGAUUCCAUCACCGCAACCAAAUAUGAAAGUCCCGCUAUGGAGACAAAGGUUUACUUUGUCUAUUAAAAUCUUUGGUUUGCAUGGAGAUUGAGUUCAUCCUACUUCUCAAUUGUUUUUCCCCAAUCAUAAAUGGACUCUUCAUACUCACAAUUAACCCCCCCCCAUUUGGGUUACAACGAAAAAGGAGGAUUUACCACUGACUGGUACACCCUAACCUCUGUACGUGGUUGAGUAAUUGGGCGGUUACCCUUCAGAGCUUAUAUUUUUUGUUAAUAAAGCACAAGGUGCAAGGUUCACACUCAAGCCAUGUAGUUGAUGAACCAGUAUCCAUGUGUAAGUAAUAUUCCUUCGGGGGAGUCCCUAACAUAAUAUGGAUAUAGCUUGCAACGCUGUCAUAUUCAACAAAAGAAUCAUAACCAUUCUCCGAUGCAAUUUGACGGGGACUCCCUUGGUGUAUUAGUAAUGGUAAGUCAAACCCCGUAUUGUUGAUGAAAAUACGGACGCCCGCCGCGCCAGUGUGAAAACAGCUAGCAUAAGAAGAAUGGAAAGUGAGUCAUAUAAGAAUUGCCUAUGGGUGAAUGGGAUGCUAGACUUGAGGAGAAAAUGUUUUAGAUGCAAGGAAGAAAGAGAAAGUAGUUUCUUCCUCCAGUAUAUAGGUCGGUUGUGGGAAAGUAAACAUCGUACCAAAUCCAAUUCUUACUUUUCAUCAUAAUAAAGAUUGCACAUUGCAUUCAACCUAAUUCAAUCCACAACCACACAACCCAAACACCCUAUCAACACAUACAAACUUUUCACUCAAAUUUACAAAACAUAAUUAUUUCCUAAUCAAACUACUCAUAAUACAAAAAUGCACAGUUUCUACACCUACUUCCCAUCUUAACCUACAACUUACAUUUUACUCAACGAAAUCAUGCAAAUUACAUUAACCGAAUUCAUUUUUACUAUUCAUAUAGGAGGAAUCACAACUAAUUCGAUUCUUGUUUACUUUUUAAGAUGAUAACAAGAAUCAUGACCCCACCCCCACUCAAUGCCUUUUUCUUAAUUAAGCCUUAAGAUGAGAUGCUAAACAAAUAAAUAUAAAUAGACAAAUAAGAAGUGAUUUAUUCCCACUGCUCACGUAAUACAUUCCCGCAUUCUCUUCAUGAUGUUUAUGAAAUUAUUCAUUUAAAAUCGAGUAGGAAUUUGUUCCUAAAGUACAUUCUACCUAAUAAAUUUCCUGUUACAUGCAAACACACAUUUUCAAAAACACACACUGUAGGCACACAGAAAUUGUAAAAAAAAGAAAAUAGAAAUGAAACAAGUGACUACGAUCCAACCUUUUCAGAUCCAUUAGAUCCUAUACCAAUGUUCAUUCUAAUUUACAUUUUUCCUCACAAAUCGUUCGUCCAAACACACCAUAGUCUUUCAUGAAUAACAAUGUGAAUGCCCACUCUCAAAGUUAAAAUUUGGAAAGGAUACAAUUAAAUCGCUGAUUUAAACUCAAGUGGAAGUUGAAUUUUUUAAUUUUCUUUUGAACUUUUAUUGAUUUAGAACAUUAAUUGGCUUCUGAUGAUUGUUUUCUAUUCUUUUUUAAACUCCUUUUCUUUCUAUACACAAAAAAAAGGCCAGUCCAUGGAUAUUUGCAUGGGAAACAUUAUAAAAGGAUAUAAGAGCGACUUGCUAAUCAGUGAACAGCAACUGUAGACACCUCAAAUUGCAAUGAUAACUCGGAACUUCUAAAUUCUCAGCACCACCCCCAAAAAGUUAACGUUUUGUAAUUUGUUCGUAGACACAAAACCAGGUCAUUUCAAGAAGCAUUCCACGCCUUCAACCUCCACAAAUCUAAUUCACACACCCCACCACCACCUCCCUCGGCCCUCCACCUAAGGCAGGAAAGCAAGGUGGGUUGCCUCCCUCUCUUUGGCAGCCCUCCACCCAAUUAAGAACAGGAAGCCAAGCAUGGUGGGUUGGGUGCGUGGUGCCUGGUUGGAAAAAGGAGGGUGGCUGGUAAGGUGGUGUGAGUGGAGAUCUGGGUCCAAUGGACAGAGGGAGAAGGGGGAGCCAUGGUUAAAAAUGCCUAAAAAAUCUAUAAUGGUCAAAACCUGUGAAAAAUCAUGUAGCGUGUGAAACAUGUUUGGGUAUGAUUGUUGUUGAGGAAAGCGAAAAAUCAGCUGAAUGUUGCCGUCUUCCCAAUCAAUUUGAAUGGAGCAUAAAGUGGAAUAUCAGCAAAAAAAGACCAAAAGAAAGAAAAGAAAAGAAAAAUUUCACAAGUGAACGCAAAUUGUGGCAGUAGUUCCCGAGUUUGACUAAAUUGCAUCAACACAUUCUCAUGCCAUUUAAUGUGGCGAGGAAGGAAACAGACAAGAGACUUUAGAAUUGUCAGGAUAUGGAAUGCCAUAGGCAAUUCAU
rnacentral:lncRNA from 1 species